UGUAGUUGUCGUCAUCUGCAACAUGGAAACUGUUUAACGUCCCAUCAAAAGUCGAUAUAUGUAACUACCAAAAAAUCCGUCAUAUUCAUGUGAAUGGUAAAAAAAUCAUGUGGUUUGUAUUUGAAAAUAUUUUGUUACAUAUUUAAAUUUCAGUCAAUUUAAAUGUCGUUUUUAGAAUAGCAAGGAAAACGUGAACGGCAGGAUUCGAACCUGCGCGGGCAGAGCCCACAUGAUUUCUAGUCAUGCCCGAUAACCACUCCGGCACGUCCACGGCGAUGCGUUCACUUUUUUCAGGUCUUACUUGUGACGUCACUUCUCCGGUGACACAUCCAUAGCUGUCUCGAACUCGGAGUUGAGGAGGGAGAGAAGAAGAAUCUAACAGGAAGUCAGAUAUGGUGGUUUAGUUUAGUUUUCAAUUUGCACUUCUGGAUGGCUUGGCAAUGAGAGGUAGAAUUUUUGCCACAACUUGACAAUGUGCAAAAUUUUUCAAUUUGAUUGUUUAUUUACUGGUUAGAAUAUUGGAAUUUAGCAUCGAACUCGAACUUAUUUGUGUUCUUCUGCAUUUCUGAUUGCCUUGUAGCUCCAUGUUUGAAGAGCAUUUCUAAUGAUUAAUGCUUGAAAUGAAUGAUGAGAUAUUGUAGUAACUUAAUGUAAUUGAUAUCAGAAUUUGAUUUAGUUUGCCUGACUUUUGAUUCUAAUUUUUAUGACUUCUAACUUUUGGUUCAAGUUAACAGUCUAUUCAGGUUGCGAUUUGCGCUAUUUGAACUCGGUAUAUUUCUGUCACUAUUCUCGGCCUUCUUAACUAUCUAAGCUUCUGGGUAUUGAAGUAGACAAAUACAAAUUUGCUCCAAAAUCAUACAAGGCAGAGUGCGUUUUGCGAUUCUUUACAAUAUAGAUUAGGUAUUAAGUAGUAGAUUCUUUUAAAAGUAUAAUUACUUUUAAUGCAUUUUUCAAAAUAGAAAAAAAAUUAGUUAUCAGUUUUGCCAUACUAUAAUGACUAAGUAGUAAUUUUUUCUAUAAAUUAGUGGUCAAGCCUGUCUUUUGCUUUCUUUGUAUUUACCUAACAACUAUGUUCCAAAAUCCACAUUUUAUAUUUUGACUGAAGGCACCCUACAGGCAUUCAAAAUUUUUUUUGCUGUUACAAUUGGUUAUGAAUAUAUACUUUUGUCUGGUGAUUAUCUAAUAUUAAUUAGUUUAUUGCCGUAGGAAUGGAUAUUAGAUUGUUACAACCAAAAGAAGCUUGUUGAUAUCGAUAGUUAACCAUGGCGGACAGGCUACAUUACAUUUGAAACUAGUAGUGUUAAUGUCUUUAUAUGUAUCUCUCCUUUUUUUUUUUCUUUUUUUAAUCCAGAUACUUAAAGCUCUUACAAAUCCCAUGAGAUAGAAUAUUUGUAAGAUACUUUACUUAUUCCUUGGAUUUACCCUGUCUGUCACCUUUUUGUUUAGCAAUUAAUAAUGUUUAAGACCAAACAUAUUCAAACCCCACAACCUUCACCCCCUCAUUUCCUUGGCAAAGGCCACUUAUCAUUUUUGCUUUUUCAUGCAUGACAUUGCUGUGAAUGUUGUAAAGACACGUGAAUUUCUAACUCUGACCUUUUUGUAUUGGAUUAUAUGAUUGCUAAUUGGUAUUAUCUAAAAUCUUAAAACACUAUGCUUUGGAUUAUGUGCAAAUGAACCUACCAUACUAUUAUGUUUUGUACAUGUUGCCAGCCAUGUAAAAGUAUGAAUAACAGGUGUGCUAAUUGCUAUCUGUCCUUUGGCAUGUGGAUCUUUUUCUUUCUGUUUGUUUUUUGGAACCUCCAGAGGAUUCUAAUGAAAAAUUUACAAGAGUAUAUCUUAAUACCCCGAUCCAAAAUAUUAAUUGGAUUGGCAAUUGGCAUGGUCUACAAUUUUCUUUAUCUUAUUGAUGUCAAUAAUAGAUGCCCUGUGUAUUCCUGAGGACAUGAGUGCUUACUGUUUAGUGAUUAAUAUGUGAAUAUAUAGUAUUUUCCUUUCAAGAUCUAAGAAUUAUAUCAUUACUUAGCCAUAUCUGAUGAUCUGCUUCUUGACUAGUAAUCAAUAUUCAAAGUGCUUUAAUUUGAUAAUUUAAGUAUAUGCACUCUAUUUUCCCACUUUUGGUCUUGAAAACAAGUUGAUCUUCUAAAUACAAAGAAUGCUUGCUGAUCAAAAGCCAUCGUCACCUAGAAAAUAUGAGAAACAAGUUGAAAGAGGAUCACAUUCUAAACCAACUGCUCUAUGUCCUCAAAGGUUAUUGUGAUAGUGUGAACAUAAUUUGUAUAUAAUUAAAGAAGAUUACAUAACCAUAGGCUAAUUGAUACUAAUUUAUUGAUAGAGUAUUUUUAGGAGUUGGCUUAACAAGGCGUGUAUAUAAACACACUUAGUUUAGAGAAAAUACAUAGAAAUUAUCCCAUUAUUUCUUGUUUUGUUGCAUGGUAUCAAAGCUUUUUUAUGGUUGAUCUAUUAUUUCUUUUGGGGUUGGAUAUUGUUCUCCUUUGAAUCACUAGUCCAGGUGAUUGUUUGAUCUCACCACCGUCCUAAGAAACAGCGCAACAGAGUUUUCGGCCUCUCCUUGAAGACCGGUGGUCAGACUGCCGGUGAGUGGUCUCCAUGCACCAAUUUUUCUUUUUCGCCUAUUCUUCACUCGCCGGCACGUGAACGCGUGUCGCACCUUCGACAAGUCUUCGGUUCCACUUCUGAGAUCGCGUCAUCAUUUUUGGCCAAUCUCUAGGGUCGUUGUUGUCAUCAGACCUUACUGUUGUCGGGUUUCUCUUCUGUUGGAGCUGUCCAAAUUCUAUUUCUUUCCUUUAAGGCUAUGUGAGGGUUGUUUUGGUACUUUUAUUAUUAGGUGAAGUGUUUUUAUGGUCUAAUAUUGGUUUUAAAUAGCUUCUAACAGUAAGACCCAUAUUACUGAAAUUAUUCUAACGUCUCUGGUAGCGGCUGAGACAGGUAAACUUAUCUUACUUGUCUUAUUUCCUCUUCACAUAAAUGGGUCAUUGAUUCUGGUGCCACGGAUCACAUGACAAGUAAUUUUCAUAUUUUUGCCAGCUUUCAAUCUCAUAAAUUAUGUUCUCCUGUUACAAUAGCGGAUAGGUCAAACUAUAAUGUUGAGGGUUUUGAGACUAUUAAAUCUACUCCUUUUAUUAUCCUAUCAUUUGUGCUAAAUUUAUCUAAUCUUACCUUUAAUUUAAUCUUUGCGAGUAAACUUAUCAAAAAUCUAAAUUGUUGGAAGAAAUCUAGUGUUUAGGAAAAGUAAGAAGCAAAAUGUGGUAUACAGAUCCAGUACUGAGUCAAAAUGCUCAAUCUAUUUCACGGAUAAAUUAUCUGCUGAAAGAAGUUGGUAUCAUUGUUUCCAAUCUAGUAUACCACAAACGGAUUAAGCAUAUUAAAGUUGAUCGUCAUUUCAUUUGUGAGAAGAUUCAAGGAAAUUUAAUUUCUACCGAUUAUGUGAAGACAGGAGAGUAAUUGAGUAACUAGGUGAUCUACUCACCAAAAUUUUAAAUGGAUUUCAAAUAGAAUAUUUUUCUAAUAAGUUAGGUAUGAUAAACAUCUAUUACUCAAUUUGAGAGGGAGUGUUAGAGCAUGUAUAUAAUUAAAGAGAUUACAUAAUCAUAGGUUAAUUGUUACUAAUUGAUUGAUAGAGGAUUCUUAAGAGUUGUUUUAACAAUAUCUUAUAAUUUGUAUAUAAACACACUUAUUUCAAUAGAAAAAAUACACAAAAAUUACCCAAUUAUUUCUUGUUUUAUUUUCAAUAAGUUAGUGUAUGAAUGGGUACUCAUAUUUUCUCCCGACACUGUAGUGGAAAACUACUCUAAUGUCAUCCCAGUCUGCCAGCACAGCAGACUAAAUUUCUGUAUACCUAACAAAUUUACUUUCAUUCUCUUUCCAAAAUUCCUACAUCUGCCUUCAACGAUUUGUUUCUUGUGCCAUAUGUUAGCAGUGUAGAGAGAGUAAUCCUGCUAAAGAGCACUUCUUCUUCGAAAGUAAAGGAAUGGGCUAUUAAUCAUCUGAAGAGAACUAUCUCAUGGCUGGAGAGUCAGGAGGUUAUGCCCCCCUUUUGCUUGUUGAGAAGGUGAAGAAGGGAGAAGAAAUUGGCGUUUCACAUUAUCUGGUGUGCAGUUUCUUAACGCACAAAACACAUAUACUCUUUUAUCUUUUUAACAAAAUAAAAGU